AGGCAAUUCAUAUACUAAACAUUUAGUAUAGAAAGUCCCUAACUGAACACACAGGUAUGUAACUCCUUUUAACUAUGAUUAUCAUGCUUUUUUAUAUUCUGUCAAAAAUUUGAAUAUCGAAAAAAGUAAAAUCACAAAAAUUCGGAACUCCGGUUGUAAUAUUGAAAAUCGAAAUACGAUAACGAACCGGCUGCUUACAUGAAGCUAGAUAUAGUUUAUCGCCCAAUUUUGUAUGUUUACCUGUAUUUGUACAUGUAUACUAAAAGGGUCGUUUGUAGGGUAUACAGAAAUAACCUCUGGAAAAAAGUAAUCCUAAAGGGUAAACACUGUUGUUUUUAUGGUACAAUAUCUUAAACUAAUAAAACACAUCUUUCAAUGUUUAAGUGAUUUUCAAUUGGACAAGUUUAAAAAAUGUGUUUGUCAACUGUAUUAAAGGUAAUAAGGCAUAAAAUCACUAAUUCGUAGCUCAAUUGCUUUCUUUGGUAAUUCUGCAAUUUGACACAUGUGACAAUCUAAAACAAGCAUAGGCUAAUAAACAUAUUCAUGAUAGUCUGACAUCUUUUAAAUUACAAGUAUUAUUAGCAUAUUAAAUUUACAUAUACUAUUGUCAAAAUAUGUUGUAUUAUAUGGUAUUUUUUGAUAACUGAAUGACCUAUUUUCUAUGACCCCUUUGAGCACAGAAGCAGUCGAUUUAGUCACUUAAUUUACGAUAGUUAAUCAGAGUGACAGUUUCUAAUAAAACUUCGAAUGGUUUGUAUCCUGAAAUUUGAUUAUUCCAACCGAUUCUACUUCUCAAUGUCCAUAUAUGCAUGUAACAGAACUUCGACACAAUUAUAGCAAUAUUUAAGAUCACGGGAGUCAUUGAUAUAAUCUUUCUUAUGAGCUGAGCUAACGAGUUUUCUGAAAUAUAAAAAACAAUUGCCAAAAGUGACAUUUAUCGAGGUACGAGGUUAAAUUAAGAAUGAAGUUUUCUGUAAUGCCACAACAAACGCAUUCUUCCAAUUGAUUUGUGAUAGUGAAUAUUUGUAAAUUUUCAGUAGUCCAAAAUAAAGGCAACAGUAGUAUACCGCUGUUCAAACUCAUAAAUCCAUGGACAAAAAACAAAAUCGGGGUAACAGACUAAAACUGAGGGAAACGCAUAAAUAUGAGAGGAAAACAUCGACACAGGACUACAAUGUAACACAAACAGAAACGGACCAAGCAUCUGACAAAAUCCCACGAGAAUAACAAACAUAACAUCAAAACCAAAUACAAGAAUUUGGGAUAGACAAGUACCGUGACACGUCUUAUCGCAAUGUCAAAAAGAUACUUCGAUGUUAUAAAAUUUAAAAUUUGUUUUAAUGCAUAUGCCUUUGUUGUCAAAUCUUCCAAAAGCUAACAUUAAAGAACGAUUGAAAUAACC
rnacentral:lncRNA from 1 species